AGGGAAGGGAGAUAAGGGUGGGGCCGUUUUAUAGGAUUUGGGUAGGUAAAGGAAAAUGACAGUCAAAGGGGGUUUGUUCUCUGACCGGCCAUUUACACUUCUUUUGGGGUGGAAUGUCAUCAGUUAAGGUGGGGCAGGGCAUAUUCACUUCUUUUGUGAUUCUUUAGUUACUUCAGGCCAUCUGGGCGUAUACAUGCAGGUAACGGGAUGUGAUGGCUUGGCUUGGGCUCAGAGGCCUGACAUUCCUGCCUUCUUCAAGCGGGAUUAGGGGCGGUGUGGGAACCUAGAGUGGGAGAGAUUAAGCUGAAGGGAGAUCUUGUGGUAAGGGGUGAUACUGUGGGGUUGUUAGAAGAAACAUUUGUUGUAUAGAAUGAUUGGUGAUGGCCUGGAUACGGUUUUGUAUGAACUGAAAAACUAAAUGGAAUAAGAAGGAGAAAAACUGGUAUAAAAGGUCUAAGAAUUGGGAGGACCUAAGACAUCUGAUUAGAGAGUGCCUAAGGAGAUUCAGCAUAGUCCUGCCAGCAAAGAUUAUUUAUUUACUUCAAGAGUUCAGAGUGGCGGUUUGGGGAUAGCACGAGGAGAUAUCAGCUGUGAUGGCUUGGAUAAACAGUGUAAACCGGCAGUGUAAACAAGAGCAGGGCAUGUAUGAGUAGUUGAGAACGGAGAAGAGGAGUAUGACUAGACAGAAGAUAGUAGGGAUGACAAGUAUUUUUUGGGGCACAGUCUAAGUUGGUCUGGUGUCUGGAAUGAGACUAGGGCCUAAUAAAAAGGAGCAUCUAUACAGGAGCUUAAAUGGGCUGUACUUUGUAGCUUUCCGAGGACAGGCCUGAAAGCUUGGUGAGAUGUGUUUUUAAAAGACCUUCAGUCCAUUCUACCUUUCUUGAAAAUGGAGGACUGUAAGGGAUAUAAAGGUUUCACUGAAUACUAAGAGCCUGAAAAACUGCUUGGCUGAUUUGACUAAUAAAGGCUCAUCUGUUAUCAGACUGUAUUGAGGUGGGAAGGCUAAACUGAGGAAUUAUGUCUGACAGAACAGAAGAAAUGACUGUGGUGGCCUUCUCAGACCCUGUAGGAAAGGCCUCUACCUAUCCAGUAGAUUUCCACGAUGGAAAGGAAAUGGGAGGUUCUGAGAGGUGGGCUAGUGGCUUGUACUAUAGCAUAGCCUGCCUUUGCUGGUGUGUGGCGAUUAGGCCUGGUGGAACUGCCAUCAAUAAAUCAAGUGUGAUCAGGGUGAGGAACAGGAAAGAAGGAAAUGUGGGGAAAUGGGGUGAAUAUCAGGUGGAUCAGAGAGAUACAGUCAUGGGGGUCAGGUGUGGUAUCAGGAAUAAUGUGGGAGGCCGGAUUGAAGUCUGGGCCAGGAACAACGGUAAUUGUGGGAGACUCAACAAAGAGUGAGUACAGCUGAAGGAGCCGGGGAGCAGAAAGUAUAUGCGUUAGGUAUGAGGAAGAAAAUAGAUUUUGGAAGUUAUGAGAACUGUAGAGAGUGAGUUGAGCAUAGUUUGUGAUUUUGAGGGCCUCUAAAAGUAUUAAAUCAGCGGCAGCUGCUGCAUGCAGACGUGAGGGCUAGGCUAAAACAGUAAGGUCAAGUUGUUUGGACAGAAAGGCUACAGGGUGUGGUCCUGGCUCUUGUGUAAGAAUUCUGAACACGCUAACCAUGCCUAGGAAGGAAAGGAGUUGUUGUUUUGUAGAAAAUGCUUGGGUUUGAGAGAUCAGUCGGACACGAUUGGCAGGGAGAGCACAUGUGUUUUUAUGAGAAUUAUGCCGAGAUAGGUAACAGUUGAGGAAGAAAUUUGGGCUUGACUGAUGUAAUGGGGGCUGUCUGUGAAGCUUUGCGGCAGUACAGCCUAGGUAAUUUGCUGAACUUGAUGGGUGUCAGGGUCAGUCCAAGUGAAAGCAAAGAGAGGCUGGGAUUAAGGGUGCAAAGGAAUAGUAAAGAAAGCAUAUUUGAGAUCCAGAACAGAAUAAUGGGUAGUAGAGGGAGGUACUGAGGAUAGGAGAGUUUAUGGGUUUGACACCACUGGGUGGAUAGGCAAAACAAUUUGGUUGAUAAGGCGCAGAUCCUGAACUAACUUGUAAGGCUUGUCUGGUUUUAGGACAGGUAAAAUGGGGGAAUUGUAAGGAGAAUUUAUAGGCUUUAAAAGGCCAUGCUGUAGCAGGCGAGUUAUAACAGGCUUUAAUCUUUUUAAAGUGUGCUGCGGGAUGGUAUAUUGGCAUUGAGUGGGGUAAGGGUGCUUAGGUUUUAAUGAGAUGGUAAGGGGUGCAUGAUCGGUCACCAAGGAGGGAGUAGAGGUAUCUUAUACUUGUGGGUUAAGGUCGGGGGAUACAAGAGGAGGACGCAAAGGACCGUGAUGGUCUAGGGGGCUUCCGAGGCGAUCGGGCAGCGUCAGAGGAAUCCCAGGCUGCGGGCAUUCCUUGGCCCAGUGGCCAGAUUUCCGGCAUGUGUAGCAAGCUCCUUGGGGAGGAACUUGCUGGCUGCUGGAGGAACGCCUGGCUGCUACAGUUCAGGCGUUUGGAAGUUCUUGUGUGCUGGAGAUGUGGCUGGGGUUUGUCUCACAGUGGAGGCAAGGAAUUGCAACUUUUUUCUGUUAUUGCACACCUUGAAGGUGAGGUUAAUUAAGUCCUGUUGUGGGGUUUGAGGGCCAGAUUCCAGUUUUUGGAGUUUUAUUUAAUGUCGGGAGCAGAUUGGGUAAUAAAAUGUGUAUUGAGAAUAAGACGGCCGGAUAAAGAAAAAGGAGCAUUAACCUUGACUCUGCCUUUAGCUCCAGCCACCUUUUUAAGAAUAAAUUGCUGGCAGGUGGGGGAGGGCUAGUCACGGAAUGAAACUGUAAGCCAGACCCGGUGUGAGGAGGGGAGGCGAUAAAAAGAUUAUAGGGUGGAGGAGCGGAGGCUGUGGAAGAAUUGGGACCUAGCUAGGCCUGUCGAGGAGGGGAGAGGUCAGAUGGGUCUGUAGAAAAGGAAGAUUAGAAAGACUCAGUGACGCUUGAGGUUGGUACUGAGGGGACAGGCGGGAGGGAAAGAAGGAAGAUUUGGGACGAGUUGCACUGGGCACAGAGACUAGGAAGGGACUGAUGUGUAAAAGAAUGCCUGGACGUCAGGCACCUCAGACCAUUUGCCCAUUUUACAAGAAUUAUUUAGAUCUUGUAGGAUGGAAAAAUUGAAAGUGCCGUUUUCUGGCUAUUUGGAACCACUGUUGAGUUUGUAUUGGGGUCAAGCGGCAUUGCAGAAGAAAUAAGACGCUUAGAUUUUAGGUCAGGUGAGAAUUGAAGAGGUUUUAAGUUCUUAAGAAUACAGGCUAAGGGAGAAGAAAGAGGAAUGGAAGGUGGAAGCUUGCCCAUAGUGAAGGAGGCAAGCCCAGAGAAAAGAGUAGAGACACGGAGAAGGGGUGGGGGUUUCUUCCCCUCCAGAAAAGCAGAGAAAGGGUUGGGACACGGAAAUAAGGGAUUGGGGCACAGAGAUAAGAGGUCAGGGUGUGGAAAUAAGGGAUUGGGGUGCAGAGAUAAGAGGUUGGGGUGCGGAAAUAAGUGAUUGGGGCGCAGAGAUAAGAGGUUGGGGUGCAGAAAUAAGUGAUUGGGGUGCAGAGAUAAGAGGUUGGGGUGCGGAAAUAAGCAAUUGGGGCACAGAGAUAAGAGGUUGGGGUGCGGAAAUAAGCGAUUGGGGGUUCUUGCCCCCUAGGAAAGCGGGACUUGCCGCUAAGGGUGAAGGAGAAGGGGUUGAGGGGUACUUGCCCCUGCCCCAGGAAAGCGGGACUUGCCGCUAAGGGUGAAGGAGAAGGGGUUGAGGGGUACUUGCCCCUGCCCCAGGAAAGCGGGACUUGCCGCUAAGGGUGAAAGACCAAGGCAGGCGUUCCUGCAUGGUCUGACACCCUUGAAACGUGAGUGUAUCAUCAGAGAGGCGUCCCUGCAAUGAUUAAACACCAAGGGAAGGCUGCCUUCCCAGUCCGUGACCGGCGCCGGAGUUUUGGGUUCACGGAUAAAACAUGUCUCUUUUGUCUCUACCAGAAAAUGAAAGGAAUUGAAAUUAAGAGAAGGGAGAGAUUGAAGAGUGGAAAGGAGAAAGUGGUUGAGGGACAGUGAGAGAGGUUGGAGAAGAGAGUAAGAAGAGGCCGCUUACCUGAUUUAAAAUUGGUGAGAUGUUCCUUGGGCUGGUCGGUCUGAGGACCUGAGGUCAUAGGUGGAUCUUUCUCACGGAGCAAAGAACAGGAGUACAGGGGCUUGAUCUCCCAAGGGAGGUCCCCCGAUCCGAGUCACGGCACCAAAUUUCAUGUGCGU
rnacentral:lncRNA from 1 species